rnacentral:rRNA from 1 species
GACGAACGCUGGCGGCGUGCUUAACACAUGCAAGUCGAGCAGUAAGGCCCUUUCGGGGGUACACGAGCGGCGAACGGGUGAGUAACACGUGGGUGACCUGCCUUUAGCUCUGGGAUAAGCCUGGGAAACUGGGUCUAAUACCGGAUAUGACUCCGCGGUGCAUGCUGUGGGGUGGAAAGCCUUGUGCGGCUGGAGAUGGGCCCGCGGCCUAUCAGCUUGUUGGUGGGGUGANGGCCUACCAAGGCGACGACGGGUAGCCGGCCUGAGAGGGCGACCGGCCACACUGGGACUGAGACACGGCCCAGACUCCUACGGGAGGCAGCAGUGGGGAAUCUUGCGCAAUGGGCGAAAGCCUGACGCAGCAACGCCGCGUGAGUGAUGAAGGCCU